GACAACCCCUCCUGAGCAGCCUACGAGCCUGUAGGGCUGAUAUCAAACCUCUAGGUGUACCCCUCCGGUCUCCUCUGAAGACAACCUCUGACCCAUCCUGACAUCUGAACCUGACUACCUUGUCUCUGCAGUCCAAGGUAGCACCAUAGGUAGAUAGCCAAUCCAUCCCUAGAAUGACGUCAAAAUCUGUCAAAUCUAGAACCACAAGGUCGGCUCAAAGGCAU
rnacentral:lncRNA from 1 species